AAACUACUCCCUCUGUCCCAAAUUUCUUGUCUUAGAUUUGUCUAGAUACGGAUGUACUAGAUACAUCCGUAUCUAGACAAAUCUAAGAAAAGAAUUUUGGGACGGAGGGAGUACUUU
rfam:Triticum aestivum genome assembly, contig: Triticum_aestivum_CS42_TGACv1_scaffold_221702_3B